UACGUAGGGGGCAAGCGUUGUCCGGAAUCAUUGGGCGUAAAGAGCGUGUAGGCGGCUCGGUAAGUCCGCUGUGAAAGUCCAGGGCUCAACCCUGGAAUGCCGGUGGAAACUGUCGAGCUAGAGUCCGGAAGAGGCGAGUGGAAUUCCUAGUGUAGCGGUGAAAUGCGCAGAUAUCAGGAGGAACACCAAUGGCGAAGGCAGCUCGCUGGGACGGUACUGACGCUGAGACGCGAAAGCGUGGGGAGCAAACAGG
rnacentral:rRNA from 1 species